UCGAGAAUCUUCGGCAAUGGACGCAAGUCUGACCGAGCGACGCCGCGUGCGGGAUGACGGCCCUUGGGUUGUAAACCGCUGUCAGAGGGGAUGAAAUGUGGAAAGGCAAUCCUUUCCAUUUGACAGAGCCUCAGAGGAAGCACGGGCUAAGUACGUGCCAGCAGCCGCGGUAACACGUACUGUGCGAACGUUAUUCGGAAUCACUGGGCUUAAAGGGUGCGUAGGCGGUUUAAUAAGUAGGGUGUGAAAUGCCAGGGCUCAACCUUGGCACGGCGCUCUAAACUGUUAAACUUGAGUGAGAUAGGGGUGUACGGAACUUCCGGUGGAGCGGUGAAAUGCGUUGAUAUCGGGAGGAACGCCGGUGGCGAAAGCGGUACACUGGGUCUUAACUGACGCUGAGGCACGAAAGCUAGGGUAGCGAACGGGAUUAGAUACCCGCGUAGUCC
rnacentral:rRNA from 1 species